rnacentral:ncRNA from 1 species
CCUGCGGAGAGUAAUAGAACUUGUGAGUAGUAUCGAUAAAUUUGAUAUGAAAGCAUACUCGAUGAAACAGGAA